ACCAGGUGUGGUGGCGCAUACCUGCAAUCUCAGCUACGUGGGAGGCUGAGACAGGAGGACUGCAAAUUUGAGUUAAGCUUGAGCAACUUAUCAAGAUCCUGUCUCAA
rnacentral:sRNA from 1 species